rnacentral:rRNA from 1 species
GACGAACGCUGGCGGCGUGCCUAAUACAUGCAAGUCGAGCGAAUCUGAUAAAAGCUUGCUUUUUGAAGAUUAGCGGCGGACGGGUGAGUAACACGUGGGCAACCUGCCUGUAAGACUGGGAUAACUUCGGGAAACCGGAGCUAAUACCGGAUAAUAUAAAGAACCUCCUGGUUCUUUAUUGAAAGAUGGUUUCGGCUAUCACUUACAGAUGGGCCCGCGGCGCAUUAGCUAGUUGGUGAGGUAACGGCUCACCAAGGCGACGAUGCGUAGCCGACCUGAGAGGGUGAUCGGCCACACUGGGACUGAGACACGGCCAG